rnacentral:lncRNA from 1 species
CUGGACCAACCUUCCAGAGUCCGGUAGCUGCACAGCCCCAGAUCAUCCGGCCACGGACUGAUCCGGGAGGCCAGAAAGCCGGCAAGACGGAAUUGCCCGUCUUGGACGGUGCCGGCAGCGGACCGUCUGGGCGUCGGUUUGUGUCACUGGCAACCAUCACUCGCACUUAAACCGGGCCCAGGUGCCCAUAGAAGGCAGAAAUGGUGGACACGGAUCGCUCUCAAGGAUGCUCCGCUCCGAGCCCGUCACCUAGGAUCAUCUGGGCUGUUUCUGCUGUCCGGGGACGCCGCCGUGGAAGCGAUUCGGCAGGGCGCUCGCCACCAACCGCUCUCCAAGUUUGUGCUGAAUGGAGGCAAAAGGUUGGCUUUUCGCUUGCGGGGUGGUGGAAGGAAGCAGAACUUUGAUGACACUUCUCGGUCGGCUCUUGGCGUGUCUGUGACUGCCUUCGCUGAGAGGUGCGCUGCGGGUGUCCGGCGAGGAAGAAAGAAGGGUUCGCAGCGCGCGGGGCCUGGGCGUGGAGGUGCGCUUUGCGGCUCCGCUCCGCCCCGGGCUGCAGGGCCUGGACGGUUUCUGUUCAGUAGGGUGUGUGUUACGAGCGUGGAUAGGACAGAGAUCCAGACACAAAGACAGACAAGGCAUCAGUUACUGCAGUGGGCUGGAUCUGUGUGAACUCCGAGAGCGAGAUUCGGUAACUGGGUGCAGCUGGUGCGUGUGGCUCGGUGCACAUCGGAGUCUGUGCGUUCGAGGCUUGUGUGCGGAACUGGUUGUCCACGUGUUUCGACUGGGGUUGCCCGCGCUUGUGCCUCGCCCAGCCACAGAGUAACUCCAGUUUGGCCUCCGGUCACAACUGAGACUUCAGUGAUCCAGUAAUGCUGUGAUUCUCCAGGACAAGAAACAUCCUGGGAGAACAAACAUCUGCUCAGUUCCUCAUUGUUCUUGGACUGUUAAUAUCUUGUUUGCCGGAGAUGUACUGAACUCUCUGCAAGCCUUCCAUUACACCUUGUUUAUCCCAAUAUGAACUAUUGAACUCUCUGCAAGUCAUUUGUUACAUUUGUUUCUCCCGAUGUACUGAAUAAAAGGUGUGGUAAGCUGGGG